GUGCAAACAGAUUUUCCCAUCGGCUCCUUGCGCGUCGCGCGUGAGACGUGUGUUGGGCGUGAACCCUAGCCCCCCAAUCCAGAGCCGCCACACCUUCCCCCUCCUCCUUCCCUCGUCCGCCGCCGCACUCCCUCCCUCCUCCCUCGUCGCCACACCCUCCGCCCUAGCACCGCGCGCUCGUUCUGUCGUCUCAUAUACCAUCGCUGCCGGCCCCUGCCAUGGUGUCGCGGCGCUCUUCCUGCGCCCUCGCGUCCGACCUCACCAGGUCCUCGAUCUCGGCCUCAUCGGCUUGCUGCGGCGGCCGCUCUCGACGCCGUCCUUGCGACACGACAGCGGCAAACCCGAGCGCCGACAGCUAAUGUGGUGGUGCAGCGGACGGCAGCCUCAGCGGGCGAGCGACGGAGACUGCAACUGGUGCACGAGCUCGCACCUCAAUGCGUCCAUGCUUGAAUAGCUCGCAUCUUCACGGCCACCAAGUGCACAGGCCAGUAGUUAAAUUUUCUGCGGAUGAGUCCUUGUCGGAUGGAUGGUGACUAACGAGAUGCACUUCUUUGCCACAAGUAAUUUUAAUAAAGGGAUUGUGUACAAGUGUUCAGAUCUUUUCUUGUGAGAAGGAUGCACAAAAUCAAGUUUUUUGUCGGUAGGAGCUUUUUUCGCUGUCCAACUGUUCAGUUCCACUGGAACAAGGGGCCCACUGGACUUCUAUUGUUUCCGAACUUGAUGUGGAUAAAAUCAACCAGAGUAUUAUGGUGAAACCAAGUUUCACCACUUGACAACUUACAUGGCCUUUCAAGGAAUUGUUCCUAAAAUGAGGGGCCAAUGUAUGAUGUUCAGUGGUCUUCUUCAGGUUCUGAAUUUGUUGUGGUCUAUGGAUAUAUCCUUACAUCGUCCUUACAUGAACCAUAACAUUUCUGGUUUAAUGUCUUUGUUUUCUACAACUGUUCCUUGACUAAAUCUUGGUUAGGCCGGCCAGAGCACCAAUAUUCAGCCAAAAAUGCAAUCCUCUUCACGAGCUUGGUGAAGGCCAUUAUAAUACGAUAAGAUGGAAUCCUGAAGGGUGAUGUAAGUCAUGUAACCUUGCAAUAGUUUGAUCAGCCGGUCGUGCUAUGUUCUCUGGUCUGAGUGGGUGUGUAUAUAUAUAUAUAUAUAUGCACACCCUUCUGUUUAGUUUGGUUAUUAGCAUAGCAAUAUGCGUCUAACAAAUUGUUCAUGUUCUUAGCAAUAUAUAUAUAUAUGCACACCCUUCUGUUAUAGUUUGGUUAUUAGCAUAGCAAUAUGCGUCUAACAAAUUGUUCAUGUUCUGUUAUUGCUUGCUUUCAUGUAAGAAAAAAAUCAUGUUUAUCUUGGUGAUAUCCUUGACCCAAGUUUCUCCACUAAUUAUUGUUAUACUUGGACAUGGUAAUUUGCCUGGUGAUAUUGUCACUAAAAUUUGUAUUAGACAAUAGCCUUAACAGUUAGAAUGAGUAAACAUUCUGAUUGGGGAAGUCUUGUCUGGUUUAAGAGAGCCUAUGACAGACUACAAAAGCAAAAAAGGGCAUGCUUUGAUAUUUCUUUAUGUGGUUGCCACAUAGCUCACAGUUUUUUUGUCCAGCUUUCUGGGACUAUUCAGAAAGAAAUUAGUAGGGAAAACAAAGGCUAAAUGGCAUGUGCGAUGGUCGCCAUUUUCUGAUAGUCACUACAGCUCCAAGGCUUCAAAUAGAUAAUGAGUACAUUUCCUGCAACUUUAGCAUGAUAAUGGAAAUGGUGGAGGAUCCUUACAUGAUUAUCUUCAUAUUUCCUGGUGCAGUUUAAGAAGAUGUGUUGAAAAACUGUAUCAGGUAUGUCGACAGCAUAACAGGUUUCUCUGUAAUCUAUAUCCCUUGUUGGUACUAAAAAAUUAGCGACAUGUCGAAGAAAUAAAUAUGCAAGCCCUCACAUUGCCCUCAUGAUUGUUGCUUCUGAAUUGUACAUGUUGAAUAGAAGCCAGAAUAUCCUGAAAGACUUGGUGACAUUGCUGACCUCACAAUAUCUUUGUAUAGCAUAAAAAUGAAGAAACAAAGAAGUAAUGUUCCAGUAUAUUUGCAGAGGUGAAAUAUUAACGCCAGUUCGAGCGCACCGGCCUCGAUGGCAAGAGACCACUACCAUCAGGUUUGCUUCCUCCUUUGCUUGUCCGGUUGCUAGGUUAGUGGUUCAUCUUUUUCAUAGCAACCUACAUCUUUCUAUACCAAUAAUUUGCUUCUGAAUCAACAUCUUACUUGUCUGAACCGGUUUCUGAAUCAACAUUUUAGUUGUUUCUGAAUCAACAUUUUAGUUGUUUCUGAAUCACCAUCUUAGUUGUCUACAUCUAUCACCAUCUCUGUGGCAUCUGUGUCUAUUUCCCUUAGAUGGUUCUCCUGUGUGAUGGUUAAAAAAUAUAAGGUUUGCUGUGUGAUAUUGCUUUCUUCAGUGUAGUGGUAUAGCAUACUGUGAGCAAUCAGGAACAAAAACAGGAGGUUUAAUUUUCACAAAUCGGUACUGCAUAUUUUUCAGAAGAUAUGCAUUGUGAUUGAACAUGAGAAAUCCUUUACCUCCCUGUACUUCAAGGUGUGUUCUGCUCUAAAAUGACAAGCACCCAACGAAGUGAGAGUGCAAACCACAUGUUGAAGAGUUAUAUGCCACCUGCUAGCCCGAUGCACAUUUUUGUGAGGCAGUAUAUGAGGCUCCAGUUUAACCGUGGGAGGGAGGAAAGUUAUGAAAGGACUAUUUGUCAGAAAAACUGAUGUAUCUGUUUGUUAUUCACCGUUGCUGAUUAAUUUUCAAUUUUUCAUUCUCAGUAAAACUGAUGUGUGCUGAUGGUGGCAGGGAGGUGUCGUGAGGAGAGCAAAUCUGGCAAAUGGCAAUAGAGCAGCAUGCAAGCAAAGUGUACACUCGUGCUAUGUUUUGGAGCCCCGUCGAAAGGUUUGGAGGCCCAGGAAAGUAGUGUUGGGGCGUCCGUCGGCGUGAAUGCGCUUCAAUGACUAGCACUACCGGAGUAGCAGAGAGGUGUAGGGAGGCCGUCGAACAGCCGGGAGAAAGCACCACACGAGGGUCUGAGCAAGCAUACCAGGUUUUGCAGCAUCUGCCCCCAUGAAGGCCACAAGCCGACGGCAUGCCCUGAUCGUGGAGAUGCACCUAAACAGCCCCGCAAACCCGGAAAGUGCAAAAACUGUUGAAUGGAAAGGCGCCGCAGGAACACGUGCACACGCGUACUGGGUGGUGCACAGAUGUAGUCUAGAAGAUUUAAAAUUUCGUCUGUAAUGUGUGAUUCAAGGAUUUUCUGGUGUGUGUUGUGAGCCAUGCUCCACGAUUGUUCCUCCAGUGCUUAAUCUUAGUGCUGUUGUAUUCCAUAGUGUUGUAUGGUAAGUCCGUAACUCAACAGAACUUCACAAUUAUGAUAGAAAAAAUGUUGGGCGUGACAUCUACAUUUUCCAAUCUGUUGCAUUGUUGGUGUGCAUCCCAGAAAAGAUUUUGUGCGAGACGGGC
rnacentral:rRNA from 1 species